GGUUAAGCGACUAAGCGUACACGGUGGAUGCCCUGGCAGUCAGAGGCGAUGAAGGGCGUGCUAAUCUGCGAUAAGCGCCGGUAAGGUGAUAUGAACCGUUAUAACCGGCGAUACCCGAAUGGGGAAACCCAGUGUGACUCGUCA
rnacentral:rRNA from 1 species